rnacentral:rRNA from 1 species
UCCUAACUAGCUAGCUUAAAAAUC